CAGAGAUUUAACAACACCACCAACAAAAGAAAUUUAACCCAGUAUUAUAUUUGGUACAACCUAGGCACUGUGUGUACAUGAAAACUGAUUUUUGGUGAAUUUCUCAGAUAAAGAGUUUGUCUCGAGAUUUUCUCAGAAGGCAGGUGGGCCUGAGCGAUUCAAGACAGCAGAAGUUGUACAGAGACAGAAGUUAUCUACAUGUCCAAGAAGGGUUACAUUCACAAAGUCUGCUUUUCCAAGCCACCAGAUCCAAGCUCCUGAACUGACACCCACCUGCUUCUCCUGCCAGGACCAAAGUCAUAGAAAGACACCAAGAUGGGGUCAGCAGAAGUGAUAUUUGGCCACAGGCCUGGUAUUACUCUUUCUUUAUAGGUGACAUAAACAUGAAGACUAGAGAACACGAACUCAUUGCAGAUAUCGUUCAGGUUGGAGUUUCUAUUUUCUUGUAUCAUUUUGGAGUUCCCCACAGAGAUCGUUGGACAGAGUUUCAGUGUCUCCUACUAAUUUGGCCCAGCAGCAUUCCAGUGGCUGAGGAGACACCUUGUCCAGCCAGCUUAGUGUUUUCUGAAGAUGCAGGUUGAACCCAUCAGCCAACAUUAAGUUUCUCCCUUAAGUGGGUUUGGAAAAGGAGACACAAGAAGAUACUGAGUUUGUAUCUAGUCAGAAUUAUGGCACCAGUGACCUCUACCCUCCAGUGAAGGCCUUGGUCAUGCCAUGUCACGUGGCAAAAGAGAUUUUGCAGGUGAAAUUAAAGUGAUGAGAAUAAAAUAGUGAGGUUGCUGGGAGGAUCCAAUCUAAUCAGAAGGCCUCCUCACUCCACUGGUAAGCAGAAGAGCGAUGCAUCAGAUAAAAAAUACAACAGAUUCAAUACACAAGAGGGAUUUGGCUUUGACGUUGUUGCUGGCUCCAGCGAGGGCUGCAUUGGUCAGGAUUCAGAAACAGAACUGAUAGGCUGUAUAUCCACAUGGAAAAAGAUGUAUUAUAAGGAACUGAAAACAAAAUUGUGGAAGCUGACAAGUCCCAAGGUGUGCAGUGUGAGUCAGUGAGGCGGCGGCCCAGGAGAACCUGUCGU
rnacentral:lncRNA from 1 species